CUAAAGUGACUGCCGGUGCAAGCCGGAGGAAGGUGGGGAUGACGUCAAAUCAUCAUGCCCCUUAUGACCUGGGCUACACACGUGCUACAAUGGAUAGUACAAAGGGUCGCGAAGCCGCGAGGUGGAGCUAAUCCCAUAAAACUAUUCUCAGUUCGGAUUGUAGGCUGCAACUCGCCUACAUGAAGCCGGAAUCGCUAGUAAUCGUGGAUCAGCAUGCCACGGUGAAUACGUUCCCGGGCCUUGUACACACCGCCCGUCACACCACGAGAGUUUGUAACACCCGAAGUCGGUAGGGUAACCUUUAUGGAGCCAGCCGCCGAAGGUGGGACAGAUAAUUGGGGUGAAGUCGUAACAAGGUAGCCGUAUCGGAAGGUGCGGCUGGAUCACCUCCUUU
rnacentral:rRNA from 1 species